CUCUUACCCACUGAGAGCACUUCCUGUGGUGGUCAAAGUGUUUACACAGCGGCCGGCGAGCCCUCGGCGUAUGUCACACAAAUGUUUCCCUCCCGCGUUUCUAGAGGAUGCUUUCCCAGGAAGCAGAGUAAGCCACCUCUCCCACAAGAGGCGUUUCUCAGUGGCGGACAAAAGCCCGUUCCGGAUGUUUCUGAAUGGGUUAAUUCAGUCGGGCGACUGCACGUGUCUACGACAACUUUCAGAAUGACUUUAUUUCGGGUGAACAUGCCCGGAAUCCACAUCCCGCUCUGCACUGGGGAUGUUAUGUGUUUAAGCAUCGGUGUCUUUCCCAAUCCAUCAAAGCGGCUCCAGCAAAAUAUAUAAACCGCUGCUCUAAACAGCAGAAGACGAUGACCCAUGUGACAGGAGGAGUUCACCUCAAACCCACGGAACAGUAACGAUUAAAAGGCGACCUCAAAUCAACGUUCUUGCCCAGCCGUUUUACCACCGUUACUUCUAUCCGCGGGAUUUAAAAAAGCAUUGCAAAGAUAAAAUUUACGAUAAACAUAAAAUUCAAAGUGAAGGACAGACACCAAAGCUCAGCAUUACUGUCGGAGUAAUUACUAUAAU